rnacentral:rRNA from 1 species
GGGGGGGGGGGGGGGGGGGCGGGGGGGGGGCGGGGCGGAGGGGGGGGCCCGGGUGUGGGGGGGUGCGCGCGGGGCGGCCGGGUGGGGAACGCGUGAGGCACCUGCCCUUGACUGUGGGCUAGCUUCAGGAAACUGGGGCUAAUCCCGGAUAGGAGCUCCUGCUGCAUGGUGGGGUUUGGACAGUUUCGGCGGUUGGGGAUGGACUCGCGGCUUAUCAGCGUGUUGGUGGGGUAGUGGCUUACCAAGGCUUUGACGGGUAGCCGGCCUGAGAGGGUGACCGGCCACAUUGGGACUGAGAUACGGCCCAGACUCCUACGGGAGGCAGCAGUGGGGAAUAUUGCACAAUGGGCGGAAGCCUGAUGCAGCAACGCCGCGUGCGGGAUGACGGCCUUCGGGUUGUAAACCGCUUUCGCCUGUGACGAAGCGUGAGUGACGGUAAUGGGUAAAGAAGCACCGGCUAACUACGUG